rnacentral:rRNA from 1 species
UGAGCAAUUUGCCCUUCUCUUCGGAAUAAGCGUGGGAAACCGCGUCUAAUGCCGAAUACGACCUCCUUUCGCAUGAUCGGAGGUGGAAAGCUCCGGCGGAGAAGGAUGAGCUCGCGGCCUAUCAACUUGUUGGUGUGGGUAACGGCCCACCAAGGCGACGACGGGUAGCCGGCCUGAGAGGGUGACCGGCCACACUGGGACUGAGACACGGCCCAGACUCCUACGAGAGGCAG